GCACGUUGGAAGUCACGUUACCUGGAUACUGUCACCUGGAUACUGUCACCUGCUGGCUGACAGCGCUACAAGCCGAGAAGGACUCAGCCUGACAGUUGGUCAAGGUGAAAGCAUUACUUGUGUCUUAGUUCCGUCAGUCUUUAAUGUACAGUUUAGAGGGGAAAAUAUGUUGCCUGUUAGGUCCAUAUAUGUGCCCCGGUUUGGCUCACCGCUGGGCUCCAGUCAAAGAGAUGAACCACAACCAGACCAGACCACGGCCCGGACAACCCAGACUAAGCACCCAUCUCGGGACAAGCGCGGGAACAAGCACGGGAACAAGCGGGGUAACGUUGUAAAAGCUCGGGUCUUUUUAAAAGUUAAAUUACCAAAACUCAACAGCAGUUUGACCAACAAAGUGACACAAGAGGACAGACCGAAAAGAUGGACGAAGGAGCCAGCAGCAAAUACAACCACGACAACUGUGAGCCGAGGAGAUGCUGGCACUGAUUCUGACUCUGUUGUUAGAGAUGUUUUCUUCUUCUCCGAAAGACCCACCAGUACAGCCAUAAACGAGAAGGAAAAGGCCAAGCUUGCCGUUCUUAGGACCAUCUCCAAGAUGCUGGAGGAGAACCAGCUCAUCAGACAGAGACUGGCUGCUGACAACCAGGCCUACUGAGGCUGCACUGACUGACUGAAAUGUCCCACAAAAACCCUUAUUUGAUCUAAAAGACAUCAUCGGUAAUUCUACACAUCAAAUUUCUUACUAGGGGAUACAUUCCCUUAAGCAUGGGAUGUUGAAAACCAAUGUUUCAACAACAAGGCACAGUUUGGUGGUUCAUAUAUAUUUGUGUUCUCUGGUAAUGUGCUGUGAGACUAUACAGCAAUCUGCAUAACUGUGUUUGCUAAAGAGUACAGUCUUUUAAACAAUGUUGAAUUAACACUGUUGUUUUAUUAAAAGAGUCCAUAUUCAAGUCAGUGUGCAUAGAUUUGUAUUCAAAUUAGUCUGGUAUCAUGAUAUAGCAGCUGUUAGAUACAUGUUAAUUCAGUCCAGUACAGUGACUCUGCAGCACAUGCUGCCUUUGUGUGUAAGCUGGGA
rnacentral:lncRNA from 1 species